AAUUGUAUAGGGUAUUUUGAAGUUGAAAGAGGCUCGCACUUCUCUUUUUUUAGUGAGGGUUUUUUUUUGAGUCACAAGAUGUAUUGUUUCAAGAAGAAAGUAGGAUAUGGCAACACUUGGAAACAAUAGCAACAGACGAAACAAAACAUUCAAGUAAACAGGAAUUUAUGAUGUCACGACUAGAUAAAAUUUAGUGUUAGCUCCAUCUAAAAGUUACGUAACGCGUGAAAUUUGGUCGAGAAGGAAAGGGGGUGGGGGGUAAAGGGUCUUAAAAUGAAACUCUAGGAUCACGCUGAAAGUUAUUAUUAUUAUUUUUUUUUUUGUUAAUUUACACAAGAUUUAGCAGAAACGAAAAAAAGAAGAAACGUUUGGAUUGCGUUACGUACUCAACAGACUAUGCUUUAGCUGGGCUCAAUACAACAAAAUAUAGGAAUAGAGUGAAAAAGGAAAAUAAAAGAAGAUGCCGUGCUUUUGCUUCAGAUGCAACUUAAGAUCGUAUUU